GAUGAACGCUGGCGGCGUGCUUAACACAUGCAAGUCGAACGAUGAUGCCCAGCUUGCUGGGUGGAUUAGUGGCGAACGGGUGAGUAACACGUGAGUAACCUGCCCUUUACUCUGGGAUAAGCCUUGGAAACUGGGUCUAAUACCGGAUACGACCAUCUGGCGCAUGUCAUGGUGGUGGAAAGCUUUUGUGGUUUUGGAUGGACUCGCGGCCUAUCAGCUUGUUGGUGGGGUAAUGGCCUACCAAGGCGACGACGGGUAGCCGGCCUGAGAGGGUGACCGGCCACACUGGGACUGAGACACGGCCCAGACUCCUACGGGAGGCAGCAGUGGGGAAUAUUGCACAAUGGGCGCAAGCCUGAUGCAGCGACGCCGCGUGAGGGAUGACGGCCUUCGGGUUGUAAACCUCUUUCAGUAGGGAAGAAGCGAAAGUGACGGUACCUGCAGAAGAAGCGCCGGCUAACUACGUG
rnacentral:rRNA from 1 species